rnacentral:misc_RNA from 1 species
CCGAGUUACCAAACUCCAAACCCAAUGUGAACCUUACCAUAUCGUUGCUUCGGUGGGCGGCUCCGGGGGAGCCCUCCUGGCCUUGCGGUGCCCGCCGAAAGCCCCAAACUCUUCUUUUUUACAGCGGUACACACCUCUGAGUGACAAAAAACAAACAAGUAA